rnacentral:rRNA from 1 species
AACGAACGCUGGCGGCAGGCUUAACACAUGCAAGUCGAACGCGUGUAGCAAUACACGAGUGGCGCACGGGUGAGUAACGCGUGGAUAUCUGCCUUUAGGUUCGGAAUAACUCCGGGAAACUGGAGCUAAUACCGGAUGGUUCCUACGGGAUAAAGAUUUAUCGCCAAAAGAUGAGUCCGCGUACGAUUAGCUAGUUGGUG